AACCUACGGGAGGCAGCAGUGGGGAAUAUUGCACAAUGGGGGAAACCCUGAUGCAGCAACGCCGCGUGAAGGAAGACGGUUUUCGGAUUGUAAACUUCUUUUCUUAGUGAAGAAGCAAGUGACGGUAGCUAAGGAAUAAGCAUCGGCUAACUACGUGCCAGCAGCCGCGGUAAUACGUAGGAUGCGAGCGUUAUCCGGAAUUACUGGGUGUAAAGGGCGUGUAGCCGGGCUGACAAGUCAGAUGUGAAAUC
rnacentral:rRNA from 1 species